GACGAACGCUGGCGGCGUGCUUAACACAUGCAAGUCGAACGGUGAACGAGGGAGCUUGCUCCCUCCGGAUCAGUGGCGAACGGGUGAGUAACACGUGAGCAAUCUGCCCCGAACUCUGGGAUAAGCGUUGGAAACGACGUCUAAUACCGGAUACGACGCGGGAGGGCAUCCUCUCCGCGUGGAAAGAACUUCGGUUCGGGAUGAGCUCGCGGCCUAUCAGCUUGUUGGUGAGGUAACGGCUCACCAAGGCGACGACGGGUAGCCGGCCUGAGAGGGUGACCGGCCACACUGGGACUGAGACACGGCCCAGACUCCUACGGGAGGCAGCAGUGGGGAAUAUUGCACAAUGGGCGCAAGCCUGAUGCAGCAACGCCGCGUGAGGGACGACGGCCUUCGGGUGGUAAACCUCUUUUAGCAGGGAAGAAGCGAAAGGGACGGUACCUGCAGAAAAAGCACCGGCUAACUACGU
rnacentral:rRNA from 1 species